GUACUUCUGGCAAGUGCAUAUAAAAUUGAAACGAUGCAAAGAAAAUUAGCGUGGCCCCUGCGCAAGAAUGACACGCAAGAUCGUGAAGCGCUCCAAAAUUAU